rnacentral:rRNA from 1 species
UAUGGCUCAGAUUGAACGCUGGCGGCGUGCUUAACACAUGCAAGUCGCGCGUGAAAGGACUUCGGUCCGAGUAAAGCGGCGCACGGGUGAGUAACGCGUGGAUGAUCUACCCAUGAGUUAGGAAUAACGGCUGGAAACGGUCGCUAAUACCAAAUACGCUCCGAUUUCAACUUCGGGGGAAAGGUGGCCUCUGCUUGCAAGCUACUGCUCAUGGAUGAGUCCGCGUCCCAUUAGCUAGUUGGUGGGGUAACGGCCCACCAAGGCGACGAUGGGUAGCCGGUCUGAGAGGAUGACCGGCCACACUGGGACUGGAACACGGCCCAGACUCCUACGGGAGGCAGCAGUGGGGAAUAUUGCGCAAUGGGCGAAAGCCUGACGCAGCGACGCCGCGUGAGGGAUGAAGGUCCUCGGAUCGUAAACCUCUGUCAGGAGGGAAGAACCGCCACGGUGCUAAUCAGCCGUGGUCUGACGGUACCUCCAAAGGAAGCACCGGCUAACUCCGUGCCAGCCGCUGC